AUUAAGUGCAGUUAUGGAUUUCCAUGUCCAACGUUUGAUUGUCCGUCUUAUUUGAAAUUUUUUUACGAUUAGUAUUUUUGUUGUUAUUAGAUGAUAAAAUAUGAAUAGUACUUUAUGCGUGACUUAUUUUUAUUUUUUUCAUAAUUUUUUUAAAUAAGAUAGGAUGUCAAACGUUAGACACGGAAACUCACAACUGCACUUAUG
rfam:Oryza glaberrima chromosome 8 Oglab08_0071_4, whole genome shotgun sequence.